AUGAAGAUUGAUAUAUCCAAGGCGUUCGACUGCCUCUCCUGGGAAUUUCUUUUGGACAUAUUGAAAGCCAGAGGCUUCGGUAGCAAGUGGUGUUCCUGGAUAUGCGGCCUUCUAAGCUCGGCGUCCUCCUCAGUGCUCAUUAACGGC
rnacentral:rRNA from 1 species